rfam:Solanum tuberosum cultivar DM 1-3 516 R44 scf00195_43, whole genome shotgun sequence.
AGCCCAUGAGUUGGGCAUUGAAGUAGGAGUUUCUAAAACCUCAACCACAUUUCAUGGAUGGGUUCAUCUUCCAAUUGCUUAAAACAUUGAAUGUUAUCUCUGAGUUU